AGUGAACGCUGGCGGCAGGCCUAACACAUGCAAGUCGAGCGGCAGCGGGUCCUUCUUGAUGCCGGCGAGCGGCGGACGGGUGAGGAAGGCGUCGGAAUCUGCCUUUUUUUUGGGGAUAACGUAGGGAAACUUACGCUAAUACCGCAUACGACCUACUGGUGAAAGGGGGGGACCGCAAGUCCUCACGCGGAAAGAUGAGCCGACUUGGGAUUAGCUAGUUGGCGGGGUAAAGGCGCACCAAGGCGACUAUCCGUAGCUGGUCUGGGAGGAUGAUCAGCAACACUGGACCGGAGACACGGCCCAGACUCCUACGGAAGGCAGAAGUGGGGAAUAUUGGACAAUGGGCGAAAGCCUGAUCAAGCCAUGCCGCGGGUGUGAAGAAGGCCUUCGGGUUGUAAAGCACUUUUGUCCGGAAAGAAAUCCUGUCGGCUAACACCCGGCGGGGAUGACGGUACCGGAAGAAUAAGCACCGGUGAACUUCGU
rnacentral:rRNA from 1 species